rnacentral:misc_RNA from 1 species
GAUGAAGAACGUAGCGAAAUGCGAUAAGUAAUGUGAAUUGCAGAAUUCAGUGAAUCAUCGAAUCUUUGAACGCACAUUGCGCCCUCUGGUAUUCCGGGGGGCAUGCCUGUUCGAGCGUCAUUAUAACCACUCAAGCUCUCGCUUGGUAUUGGGGUUCGCGGUUUCGCGGCCCCUAAAAUCAGUGGCGGUGCCUGUCGGCUCUACGCGUAGUAAUACUUCUCGCGAUUGAGUUCGAUAGGUCUACUUGCCAGUAACCCCCAAUUUUUACAGGUUGACCUCGGAUCAGGUAGGGAUACCCGCUGAACUUAUGCAUAUCAAUAAGCGGAGGA